CAAUGUGAUGCAUCCCUGUGGAGUGGUGAGGGACUGUCUCGGUGUUAAGGACGGUCGGUACCCGGAUGAAGAGGAGCACUGUAGAUCCUUUUACACGUGUUACGCAGGCAAAUUCCUUGGCCACAAUUUCUGUCCAUCACAUCUUGUUUUCGAUUCUGCAGAAGGUACGUGCAACUGGGAGAAUGCAGUUGCGAAACCCUGCGGCUCCAAGGUCGCGGCAACACCUUAACAACAAAGGGAGAUACAUGUACAUUGUUUAUUUACAUGUACAAUUACGAUAUUAAAACACAAUACAAAC